UUUUCUAUAACAGUUUUUCUUACAGUAUAUAUUGUAUAUUUUGAAGAUUAAUUUCAAAAUAAAUUUAUUUUUAAAGCAUUUAUAUUUAUAUUGCAUGUGAGACAAGUUUUGAAUAUCUUAAAAUAAAUUAUGUUUUCAAUUGCAAAAUACUUAUACUUAUAGAUGGGUUGCUCGGCGACGUUAUAACUGUUUGCCCGCGCAACCGAGAGGCAGAAAGAAGAGCCGUGCUUUGUGUUGUACGCUAGUAGCGGUGUCUGUAAGUCAAAAUGCCAAGGAGUUGUUGCAUGGAUAAUAGUACCAACAGAGCCAGUGCUGGGCAAGGCUUUGAACCGGUUCACGGAACGAAAACGAAAACCAGAAACUUUUGAUGUUUUGCAAGGAACAGAAACGAAACCAGAAACUUUCAAAAAAUAUAUGUUCUGGAACAGAAAAGUUUAUUGAAAAUAAUGGUAACCGGUUAAUAACGUUAUUUUUUCAGUUCUUUGACAAGAUUUCUGUGUAAUGACUUGUAGAAGUUCACUUCCGGUCAUUGCUGACUCAUACAGUACUGACUCAUACUCAUACAAGUACAGUGUUCUCUCUCUUUGUGUUCAGCGCCUCAGCAGCCCCUCCUCUGUUGCAUGCAGCGCGCCUCUCUCACAUAACAGUGAAAGGUAUUUUAACUCCGCUCCUCCUAGUACUUUAUUUUUCGCGUAAACGUCAACAGUCACGGAUGUUACUGACAGAGAAGACGGCUGAUCGAGUUCAUAAUGAGUGACUUAAAGCUAUGGUCUACGAUUUCAAAGAUUGUUCAUUAUUAAUAAACUCGUUUAGAUGCUGGUUAUGGUUCUACAGUAAAAUCCUAACAAUAUGAAGAGAAAAAAUCAUUAAAAAAAUCCAUUCAGUCUAUUGGGUGUACGGCGGCAGAUAAGUUGACCAAUGUAAACAGUCCGGCCGGACAGCUUACAUUGGUUAACUGCUCUCAUCAAAGCCCCGUACACUUGAAAAUCCACCUCGCGCUCGCGUCUCCACCCCAUCGCACACCACCCCGCUCCUCUCCUGCCUGCGACAUGAAAUUUGUGUCAGUGUAUGUUAGCUAGCGAAGCAGCAACAUCUCACUAAUGGAAAAAAACUAACCGACAGCAGCAAGCUUCUUGUCCCUACAGUAAAGGUUGGAAGAAAAAGGAAGUCUGUAGAGGAAAGAGCAGAGGUAAAAAAAAGUGUGAAAAACGCCGGACUCUAAGCAGAAUCAAUAUAGGGUCCGCCAUUGACCGUUGGAGGACGCUUCAGGGAGAUUUGGGGCCGAAAACCGACGCCGACACGGCGGACUUUUUGUUGAACAGGUACGCAUUUAUUUAUACUUUUAUUGUGUGAGGUGUUACAUAAAUAUCUUUUUAUCAGUCUGACAUGCUCAUGCUGCCGGUCGGCAUUGGAAUGUUAGCCGUUUAGCAUCGUGUAUCACGGGUCAAUGUAAUUAAAUUUACAAAGAUUGUGUGUGGUGUUACAUAAAUAUCUUUUUAUCCGUCUGACAACAUGCUCAUGCUGUCGGUCGGCAUUGGAAUGUUACCCGUUUAGCAUUGCGUAUCACGGGUCAAAGUAAUUAUAUUUACAAACUCAUUUCUUGAAGUGCUUUAAUAUACUUCAAUAGGCCCAACGUUAGAGGGUUUCUGUUCGAGCUGAUCGGAAUUUGAACAAGAUGCGCUGUGUGCUGCUAUAACAAUUACUCAAAACCUUAGCAAUACUAACUAAUAAUUAUUGUGCAAUCAAUGUGCGCUUGGUAGCACCAGUGGAAACGAGGCUCAGGAGGGGAAACGUAUGCCAAACGUUGUUGUGAAAUUAAAUAACCGCAAUCAUGCAUAAUUGUAAGUGUUCAUUUCUUUAAGGCUUUAUGUGUUUACUGCUCGGUAAAUCUCUGUUCCGAUGUUUACUACCGGUGAUCACAGCUUGACUGAGUGACGUUGUUCAGGUCGUUUCCCGGUGGGAGGGAUCAGGUAGCACAGAGGGGCGGGAUGAGUUUUUUUAAAACUUACUAAUCGUCUCAGGCUUUCUCGGCCGAUUUUCAACAUCGUAGACUGCAGCUUUAACAAAAGGUUAGCAUUACCACACAUACCCGUUCUGGUGUGAGUCUGUGUCCAAGCUCUCUUCCUACCUAUGAUGCAUAUGCACGUGUUCUGUAGUAACAGCAACCGUGUAUUCUCUCAUAUUUCUGAAUUUGCAUAAAUUAAAACUACCACUCGUAUUUAAUAUAAAAAAGCGUUCAAAACGCAACAACACCGGUGAGAAGAGCAACAUCAGUACAGCCUCAGUGUAAAUGUAUGAUGAUUUUGUCAGAUGAGGGCGCGUUUUUAGCAGCAGUUAAAGAAAGAGCUGAUUUGAUUAAACAAUUAGUUACUGGGUCGUUGCUAGGAUGUGUUAAGUCACUAUUUUAUAGACAGCAGAACAAAUAAUAUGUAAAAAUAGCAUCCAGUUGUGUUAAAUGCAACAUAAUGGGACAGAUCAAAGAGUAAAACACGAUGCAAUGAUGCCACAUAUAUGCUAAUCGGCGUAUGACGUCAUCACCACCACAGUCUCUAAAAAUCCUGUGGGAAACACUAAAGUAGCAUACUCAAGCCCAAGUCCCUAAUGCUCAAUCAUAAGAGGUAAAUAUUGUAGGCUCCCAAGUAUCUCAAGAUGUUUGUUUUAAUACUAAUUAGUGGUGUAACGGAUCAAUUCCGUACAUAUCACAACCCACGGUUCGGCUCGCAUGCGAUUUGCGGAUUAAUAUACAAAUUUAAAUGGGGUGAAAGUCGAUGAUUUGCCUAUGUCCUUCAAAGAUCAGAUCUCUUGAUGUAUCAACUUGAGAGAGAGUUGCACUACUGUGUCUCAUACUGUAGUCCAUUAAAAUACAUCUGGCGAAUAAAGCACCGAAAAACAACGUAAUUUUCACUUUAUGUGGAGCGACUGUUUAUGCUGCAUCUUCUUCCCAAAGCGACAUUUGGCAUUUGUCCUCCGUCUGUGUGUGUGUGCGUGUUUAAGUGCACUCAACAAAUGUAGGCAUGUCAGAAUUACAGUUAUGCCGCUUACAUAAUGUAGCCUUUUUUAAUGUUUGAUGACAAGAUAGAGACUUAAGGAAAAUUAUGUAGACUAAUAAUUUAAAUUAAAUGUCCUAAUGAUCAGCCUACUUAUUUAGUCCCACAGCUGACAUGGAACGUUAUUAACCGGUUCGGUAACUUUAUUUUUUUUGUUCUAACCGGUUCAGGAAUGUCAACUUUAGGGUUGAACCGAAAACCGGAAACGUUAAAAUACUGUUUCUGUUCGGAACGAACCAAUUGGGAAAAAAUUCUGGUUCAAAGCCCUGGUGCUGGGUGCCUGAUGUUUACAUACCAGUAGAUGUGACUUACGUUACUAUGAAGGUAAAUUAGUUGCAAAACUUGACAGCUUGUAAAUUUUUAUGUGAGAACUUGCAAAAAAAUAUUUGUACUUGUAUAUUAAUGUUUAUAGUCACAGUCCCGAUGUGAAGACCUUCAAAAUCUGACGUUGAAUGCUGAGAUGUGCACUCGUGGACAGUAAAGUUUUGAAAAUGUUAAAAUUCUAGAUGAGAGCUGAGUUGUCGUGGCAACCGUGACGCAUCAUCAGUCAACAAAGAGCAGCACCAAACUCUCAACUCUCUCAACUCUUCUCUUUUAUUGUAAAAGGAAGAGACCGGUAUACCUGGAGUAAACCCACGCUGAACAUUCAAACCACACACAGAAAGGCCACCUGACUUAGCCGGAGCUCGAAUCGGGGACCUUUUUGCUGCCCUGUUUGACUCUCAUUAUAAAGUUCUAGAUGAGAGCUGAGUUGCCGUGACAACCGUGACGCAUCAUCAGUCAACAAAGAGCAGCACCAAACUCUCAACUCUCUCAACUCUUCUCUUUUAUUGUAAAAGGUUAGUAAAAAUUAUUACAUUUCAAAGAAAAAACAUUGUAAUUCACACGCUUUAAUGUCAAAGUAAAGUUUUUAUCAAAUAUUUGGUAACACUUUAACAUUAAAAUUAAUAAAUCCA